UUGCCGAUGAACCUGAAUAUCCGUUAUGGAAAAUUCAUCAUUAGAAUUGUAAUAUUUUAAACAAUAUUAUAAUAAUAGUGUGCAUUUUUUCCAUAUAAGGACAUUGUAAUCUAUUAGCAUAAAUAUUUAUCAUAAAAUUAUGUCUGAUUGCUUAUUUGAAUUAUAUGCUUGCAUUUUAACAUAAAAUAAAAGACAUAAAUUUGAUAAAGUGCUGAUAGAUUUAUAUGAUUACAGUGCGUUAAUUUUUCGGAAUUAUAUAAUGGCAUAAUUAUCAUUGAUAUUUGUGUUUAUAUAUGCACU
rnacentral:rRNA from 1 species